GGUCUAGUGGUUAGGAUUUGGCACUUUUAUUGCUACAGCCCAGGUUCAAUCCCUGG
rnacentral:tRNA from 1 species